rnacentral:tRNA from 1 species
AAUAAAGUGCCUGACAAAAGGAUUAUUUUGAUAGAAUAAAUUAUGUAUAUAUUUACCUUUAUUU